AGCCAUAUUAUGUUGAAACCCUGGUUCUCAUGUGAUCACCAAAGUUAAGCAACAUAGAGCCUGGUUAGUACAUAGAUGGGUGACUGCUUGGGAAUACCAGGUGCUGUAA